rnacentral:rRNA from 1 species
GAGUUUGAUCGUGGCUCAGAUUGAACGCUGGCGGCAUGCCUUACACAUGCAAGUCGAACGGCAGCAUGAUCUAGCUUGCUAGAUUGAUGGCGAGUGGCGAACGGGUGAGUAAUACAUCGGAACGUGCCCUGUAGUGGGGGAUAACUAGUCGAAAGAUUAGCUAAUACCGCAUACGACCUGAGGGUGAGAGUGGGGGACCGCAAGGCCUCAUGCUAUAGGAGCGGCCGAUGUCUGAUUAGCUAGUUGGUGGGGUAAAGGCCCACCAAGGCGACGAUCAGUAGCUGGUCUGAGAGGACGAUCAGCCACACUGGGACUGAGACGCGGCCCAGACUCCUACGGGAGGCAGCAGUGGGGAAUUUUGGACAAUGGGCGAAAGCCUGAUCCAGCAAUGCCGCGUGUGUG